AAAAAGUGCGAGAGAGAGGGUGAGAGAAAGAGAAAAACCCCACGGCUUGCGUCGUUCACGUCAAAGAUUCGGCUCUAAGAGCCAUUUCGUUCGCGACCGACACAUCACUAUUCUGAAGCAGUGUGUUGAUCUUUUUGGCACACGCACCGGAGCGUCAGCUUCAAGCGGACCAUCACUACCUCUCACGUCUAAAGCUGAUCAGCAGGAGGAGAAGAGUCUGACGGAGCAGCAGAGGAACAUUUUCA